GUAGAAUCGAGGUUUUGCCAUGUUGGCCACGUUGGUCUCGAAUUCCUGACCUCAGUUGAUCCGCCCAUCUCAGCCUCCCAAAGUGCUGGGAUUUCAAGCGUUAGCCACCGCACUCGACCAAAUGACACUGUCUUAAAUGAUUUAAUGUCUUAAAUCGGGAAAGGAGAGUAAGAGAAAGCACUCAAUGGAGUCAGAGGUGUCUUGCAGCCUAGCUCUUUCCACAGACAAGCCACAUGGGCCUAUCAUCUAACCUUUUCAAACUUCUCCAACUGCUUCUGUGAUGGAGGGAUUUGGGCUAGAGGAUCUUUUUAUUUUAUUUUAUUUUAUUUUAUUUUGGUGACAGAGUCUCACACUGUCGCCCGGGCUGAAGUGCAGUGGCACAAUCUCAGCUUGCUGCAACCUCUUUCUCCUGGGUUCAUGCGAUUCUCCCGCCUCAGCCUCCCAACUAGCUGGGAUUACAGGCGCACACCACCACACCUGGCUUAUUUUUUGUGUUUUUAGUAGAGACGGAGUUUCACUAUGUUGGCCAGACUGGUCUCGAACUCCUGACCUCGUGAUCCGCCCACCUCGGCCUCCCAAAGUGCUGUGAUUACAGGCAUGAGCCACCGCGCCUGGCCGAUGAUCCCAUUUUUCAAAGUAGGCUGGGUGCGGUAGCUCACGCCUGUAAUCCCAGCACUCUGGGAGGCUAAGGCGGGUGGAUCACUUGAGGCCAGCAGUUCGAGACCAGCCUGGCCAACAUGGUGAAACCCCGUGUCUACUAAAAAUACAAAAAUUAGCUCGGCAUAGUGGUACGUACCUGUACUUUCAGCUACUUGGGAGGUUGAGACAGGAGAAUUUUGCUUGAACCCAGGAGGCGGAGGUUGCAGUGAGCCAAGAUGGCACCACUGCACUCCAUUCUGGGUGACAGAGUGAGACCCUGUCUCAAAAAUAAUGAUAAUAAAAUAAAAGUAAUUAUUUAAGGCUGGGAGCGGUGGCUCACGCCUGUAAUCACAGCAUUUUGGGAGGCCGAGGCGGUGGAUCAUGAGGUCAGGAGGUCGAGACCAUCCUGUCUUAACACGGUGAAACCCUGUCUCUACUAAAAAUACAAAAAAAUUAGCCAGGCGUGGUGGCGGGCGCCUGUAGUCCCAGCUACUCGGGAGGCUAAGGCAGGAGAAUCGCUUGAACCCAGGAGGCGGAGGUUGCAGUGAGCCGAGAUCACACCACUGCACUCCAGCCUGGGUGACAGAGCGAGACUCCGUCUCAAAAAAAAUAAUUAUUAUUUAAAAUAAUCAUUGGGCCUGGCGCGGUGGCUCACACCUGUAAUCCUAGCACUUUGGGAGGCCAAGGCGGGUGGAUCACGAGGUCAGGAGAUUGAGAUCCAGCCUGGCCAACAUGGUGAAACCCCAUCUCUGCUAAAAAUAUUUUUUAAAUUAGCUGAGCGUGGUGGUGGGCACCUGUAAUCCCAGCUAGUCGGGAGACUGAGGCAGGAGAAUCGCUUGAACCUGGGAGUCGAAGGUUGCAGUGAGCCGAGGUCGUGCCACUGCAGUCCACCUGGCCAACACAGCAGGCCUCUCUCUAAAAUAAUAAUUAUUAUUAUUGUUAUUCUUGACAGGCCAGUGUAGAACAGGUGGGGCAUCUGUGGUAUGACAGAACUGGGUUCCAAUUCUGUCCCUUCACCUGUCCCAGGUUCCUCAUCUGAAAACUGUGACCCAGUAAACCUAAUUUCAUGAGCAGCUUUCAUUAAAAUUGAAAUAAUGUUGGAAAAUGCCUUGUAACCGUGCUUGAUAUAGAGUAGUUACUUAGCCAGUUAUUUCCUCUCUUCUUCCAAUUCCUAACAAAAUGGAAAAACGUUUGGUUGCUAGGAAAGAGCUCUAAGGGGAUUUUGUUGUUGUUUGAGACAAAGUUUGGCUCUAUCGCCCAGGAUGGAGUGCAAUGGCACAAUCUCUGCUCACUGCAACCUCCGCCAUAGACAGGAGCCAAGCAUAGUGGCGUGCACCUGUCUGUAGUUCCAGCCUCUUAGGAGGCUGAGGCAGGAGGGUUGCUUGAGGCCAGGAGUUUGAGUCUAGCUUGGGCAAUAUAUUGAAACCUUGUCUCUUAAAAAAAAAAAAAAAAGAGGCCAGGUGUAGUGGCUCACGCCUGUAAUCCCAGCACAUUGGGAGGCCGAGGCAGUGGAUCACUUGACCCCAGGAGUUGGAGACCAGCCUGGGCAACAUGCAAACUUCCGUCUUCUAGGCCGGGCGCGGUGGCUCAACACCUGUAAUACCAGCACUUUGGUAGGCCGAGGCGGGCAGAUCACGAGGUCAGGAGAUCGAGACCAUCCUGGCUAAGGUGAAACCCAGUCUCUACUAAAAAUAAAAAAAAAAUUAGCCGGGUGUGGUGGCUGGCACCUGUAGUCCCGGCUACUUGGGAGGCUGAGGCAGGAGAAUGGCAUGAACCCAGGAGGUGGAGCUUGCAGUAAGCCGAGACCGCACCACUGCACUCCAGCCCAGGCAACAGAGCUAGACGCCCUCUCAAAUAAAAGUAAAUAAAUAAAUAAAAUUAUGUCAUUAAAAAAAAAUACAGGGCCGGGCGCGGUGGCUCAUGCUUGUAAUCCCAGCACUUUGGGAGGGUGAAGCGGGUGAAUCACGAGGUCAGGAGAUGGAGAGCAUCCUGGCUAACACAGUGAAACCCCGUCUCUACUAAAAAUACAAAAAAUUAGCCGGGCAAGGCAGCGUGUGUCUGUAGUCCCAGCUGCUGGGGAGGCUGAGGCAGGAGAAUGGCAUGAACCCAGGAGGCAGAGCUUGCAGUGAGCCAAGAUCCCGCCACUGCACUCCAGCCUGGGCGACAGAGCGAGACUCGGUCUCAAAAAAUAAUAAUUAACAAAAAAAAAUACAAAAGUUAGAUGCGCAUGUUGCCAUAUGCUCGUGGUCCCAGCUACUCGGCAAGCUGAGGUUGGGAGAUCACUUGAGCCCAGAAGGUGGAGGUUGCAGUGAGCUGAGAACCCACCAUUGUACUCCAGCCUGCGUGUCAGUGAGAUUCUGUCUCAAAAAAAAGAAAAGAAAAAAAAUCUAGGCUAUGCUCCCUAGUAUGGGAAAUCUAGUCUAGUCAUUUGGCAGAAUCAGGCUUUGCGGGCCAUAUUGUCUCUGUCGUAACUACCAACUCUGCUGGUUAAAAGGGAAGUAGCCACAAACAAUGUCUGAAUGAUGGAUUAUGGCUGUGUUCCAAUAAAACUUUAUUUGCAAAAACAGGUUGCUGGUUGCAAGGUAGUUUUCCAACCUCUACGUGAUUCUCAGACUUUAGGUUGCAUCAUAAUCACCUGGAGGGCUUGUUCAAACGCAGAUUGCUGGGCCCCACCCCCAGAAUUUUUUAUUCAGCCAGUCUGGGGUGGGGCUGAUAUUUGUAUGUCUAACAACUUUCCAGGUGAGGCUGGUUGAUGAUGGUCUGGAAACCACUUUGAAAACCUCUGAAGCUUUUCUCAACUCCCUUUGUGUACCUAAAACACUUUAUCCCUACUGUAGAUGUAGUAUUUAGCGUGUUAUAUUAGUUUAGUGAUUGGUGUGUGGGUCUCUGGGAGCCUUUCUGAAUCACCUCCCUAGCCUAGUGCCUGACAAUAGCAAUUUGCUCCCCAUUCAUUGACUGAACUGAAACCAGAGGGUCAUGGUCAUCAUCAUUGUUCCAAGCCAUAGAUAGAAGAUGAAGUCACCACCCCCGAUCUCAGAGCUCAUCAGAGUAGAGCUUGGGCUGGACUAUGCCCUUCUCUGCAGUGAGCAGUUUUCUCUGUGGAGCUCUGCAACCUGGAGCCAGCCCUGCCUGGGGUUUCUUCAGUGUUAACCGUGUUCAUCACAUUGAUGUGCUGUUUCACUUCAUGCUGUGUGAUGUGAACUUCGGCCAGAGCAAGGAGAAAGCAGUAUAUACUCUGAAAAGGACCCCGCACCGUGUUCACCCAAACAGCACCUCGUCAUGCAUCUCAGAGCCCUCGGCCUCUGGGCCACCUCCUCACUCCCCCAGGGGUGCUCUGAAGCCUUAAACAGUCUGCUUUUCUUUUUCUUUUCUUUCUUUCUUUCUUUUUUUUUUUUUAACAGAGUCUCGCUCUUGUUGCCCAGGCUGGAGUGC
rnacentral:lncRNA from 1 species